AGUUUACACUCCCAACCCAAUGUGAACGUUACCAAACUGUUGCCUCGGCGGGAUCUCUGCCCCGGGUGCGUCGCAGCCCCGGACCAAGGCGCCCGCCGGAGGACCAACCAAAACUCUUUUGUAUACCCCCUCGCGGGUUUUUUUUAUAUCUGAGCCAUCUCGGCGCCUCUCGUAGGCGUUUCGAAAAUGAAUCAAAACUUUCAACAACGGAUCUCUUGGUUCUGGCAUCGAUGAAGAACGCAGCGAAAUGCGAUAAGUAAUGUGAAUUGCAGAAUUCAGUGAAUCAUCGAAUCUUUGAACGCACAUUGCGCCCGCCAGUAUUCUGGCGGGCAUGCCUGUCCGAGCGUCAUUUCAACCCUCGAACCCCUCCGGGGGGUCGGCGUUGGGGAUCGGCCCUUUACGGGGCCGGCCCCGAAAUACAGUGGCGGUCUCGCCGCAGCCUCUCCUGCGCAGUAGUUUGCACACUCGCAUCGGGAGCGCGGCGCGUCCAUUGCCGUAAAACACCCAACUUUCUGAAAUGUUGACCUCGGAUCAG
rnacentral:rRNA from 1 species